UACGUAGGGGCCUAGUGUUGUCCGGAUUUAUUGGGCGUAAAGCGCGCGUAGGCGGCUUCAUAAGUCCGUUGUGAAAGUCAAAGGCUCAACCUUUGAAAGCCGAUGGAUACUGUGAGGCUAGAGUUCGGAAGAGGCGAGUGGAAUUCCUGGUGUAGCGGUGGAAUGCGCAGAUAUCAGGAGGAACACCGGUGGCGAAGGCGGCUCUCUGGGACGGUACUGACGCUGAGACGCGAAAGCGUGGGGAGCGAACAGG
rnacentral:rRNA from 1 species